rnacentral:lncRNA from 1 species
GGAGAAUGCACAAAUAUUCACACUCUAGUAUUAUUGAAGAAAAAAUUCUAGAAUUUCCCAGAGUUCUCUCUCUCUCUCUCUCCUCUCUCUCUCUCUCCUCUCUUUUCUCUCUCUUUCCCUCUCUCUCUCUGUCAACACAUUUCCCUCAGCUUUCUGAAGCAGGAGCAAGAACAGGAACAGAGCAUCCUGGAAAAUCCAACACUCAUCUGCCGACUCCUCUCCAGGACCUCAGCAUGGCUCCAGUACUCGUUGUCCACAUGCUAGUUUAACAUCCUUCGAUUUGCUGUUACCCUUGGCUAUUUCAGAUCAACCUUAAAAUUUAGACCUUGUUUCUUGCUUGCUUUAGGGUCCUACAACUUGGACUUUGUUUUGUUUUAUUAUUUUUAUUUUUGCUUUAUGGCAUGAAGUCUAAAUUCUUUAACAAAGAAUCCAUAACCCUUCGUGGUCUGACUCUGCGCUAUCUUCCCUGCCUCUCCUCUGCCCUGCCUGCACCUUUUCCACACUGGCCUGACAUUCCAUUCUUCCUUGCAUGCCACACACUGUUCUGAGAUACUAGACCUUUGCAAUGCAGUAUCUUCUGUCUUGAAUGUAAUCAACCAUAUUCUACUCUUUAGCCCAAAUCCUAACAAAAUUCGUCUCUCAUCUGUGAUCGCUGCACCAAUCACAGUGAGUAUGGCUUAGGGUACGUGUCAGCCCCUCGUGUUAAAAUG